AAAACACUCUCACCUGGACAGGGUUUCCCUUGACAACGGCGUGUCUCUAAGUCUGAUCCUGCACAGUGUCGGCCUCCAUUGGCAGGUAGAGGAUUGUUGCACUGCCUCAGCCUAUUCUGAGCACCAGCACCACAGGACACACUGCAAGGAGCCCACUAUCAGAAGUCAUGCUGUUACAUGAAUGAGAUAUUUCUUUAAAUACUUUUUUUCCUACACUACAGUAAAAAUGGUUACAGUAAAACAUGUUGUCACAUUACUGAAGAAAAUUCCAGACACUCACGAGACCCAUGAGAAGUGGUUGAAACUGAGAAAGUUCUGUUUUUUUGUUUCUUUCUUUCUUUCUGGUCAAACUGCAGUAAAACUGUUAAAAUCAAGCACAUAUACUCCACCGAGGAAGCCCAUUAGAUGAGGUAGAAAAAGGCAGUAAGUGGAUCUUGAGUUACUGUUUUUCCUCCAUCGGCUGAAGAAGCCUGGAAAAGGGGUUUUGCUCUGAAAAGAGGAAGUGUGGGCUCCCUGGUGACCAGAGGAACAUCGCAGGCAGAUCUUCAUGACCCAGCAGGAACAACAGGACACAGUGGGAAUGAAUUAAUGAGCUACAUGACACUGUGAAAACACCACAACACCAUCACAGGAAGAGUGGUGGAAGCUGAAUUAGUGAGGAUGACUCCUGCUCCUGUCAUCUCUAAGCUCCUCACACAUCUUUACCUGCACAUGAGGAAAAUCACUCCUGUAGAAUGCAG
ensembl:lncRNA